rnacentral:lncRNA from 1 species
UAAGAGCAUGGCAUUCUCUUGGUCUGCCGCCUCUCAAGUUCGUCAAGACGGGAUCAUGUUGCUCCUGGGAAGUGAGAAGAAGCAUUAGACAUUGAAGCGACGCUCUACACUGGUCUUGUUGUAUGGUAGUCAGUGCUAAGUUUCUUACUGUCAUUUCAUAUAUUUAUCCUUUCCAUUUUGAGUCGCUGAAACUGCUGAGUGAUGUGCAGUUUGCUCUGUUAGUCGCUCUGUCACUUUCACUUUUCAUAUUCUUUGUUGUGUAGUUCCCUCAUAAUGCUCUUUCUUCCUGAGUCUCGGAAAGAAUAAUAAAGAGCCAUGUGUAAUUCUAUUGCUCCGUUCUCCCCAAAUUUUGUCAUUAUUUUAAGCAGUACUAAUUGAGAUACUAUCCAAGGUUUUGAAUCAUGGUUUUGUCCAAUUGGUGUAAGCCCAACUUAAGCAAAAGUGGUUUCAUGAGAUCUGAACUGCGAAAAUAAUACUCCCUCCAUUCCUAAAUAUAGGGUGUAUAGUUUUUGGCACGGAAAUUAAAGAACACAUAUGGAGGGAAAAUUUCACAAGCUUUGGGCGACAUUACACAUGACUAAUUGACAUGAGAAAAUAGAGGAGCUUGCGUGAUAUAAGGAAAUGUAAACAAAUCCCUCAAAAAUUUAUCCAAACGAGUGGUGCAGUGCAAUACACCUUAUAUUUCGGAAUUUUUCUCAAAAAUCUAUACACCUUAUAUCAAGGAACGGAGGGAGUAUUGAUUCACUGGACUCUGUUCUUGGCCCACACUGGGGCUCAAGAAUCAUAUCAGCAUUGAUUGGGUUUGGUGUAAACUACAAGGAUGAUCGGGCGCGCUUCGCUGCAAGGUUGGUGUCGUUGAGAAUUCAUAAAUAAAAGUCUUUCGUUUGCUGUGUGGAGAUGAAGAAGUGUUUUUUUAGAACCGAAGUGUUUUUUGUUUAUAAUGAAGUAUUUUGAUGGUCUCUUUCUGGUGUAUAAUUAUGUGUUAUUUGCAAAUUAACCCACACAUAUGCAGGAAAGUUUUUUGCAGUGGUGUUACAGUGUCGCAUGUUGAUGCUAGACUGAUUUAUUUUCAUAAGCUGGUUGUUAUGAAUUGAUUUGAGAGAUCAUUGACCAAUCAAAAUCAUGAAUCAAAUUCAAAAUUAAAUACCUCACUUGAAUGAGGGAGCUUCUUGAGAAAUUGUUGACCAAGACAAAAUUGGGAACUCAAUCCAAAAUCAUAUUGGUGCUACAAAGAGUGUCUGCGAGGCUAAUGUAUUUUUAUACUUCUAAGGACCAUUUUUAUCUUGGUACUCAUACUAAAAUGGUUGUAUGCAUCCUUAGUUGGUGCAGAGGCCGGAAAGUGAAAAUCUCUCUCAUUUUCUAGGUCGAGGUAGACACAAGCCGCCCCACGCGUCGCCCCCACGGGCGACCCGAGGGGAACCCUAGCCGCCCUACCUCUUGGCCUCCUCCGCUUCCCCCCCCUCCUCGCUGUCGUCCGCAGCGCCGCCGGGCGAAGCCUGGCCGGCAGGGCGGCGGCUGGGCUUCUCCUCACCUCUUCCGUCACGGCUGGCGCGGGGCAACGAGAUCGGGAGGUGCAUCGGGCGAGCGCCGGGUCCAGCGGCGCGGCGGGCGGGUCUCCAGGCGAUGCCUGCACGGCGCGGUGACGACGGCAUGCUUGUGGUGAAGUGGUGGCUGCGUUGGAUUUGACCGGUGGUCGCAGGUGCCGCCGGAUCCAUAUCAGAUCCAUCUAGAUUCUGUCUUUGGAAUCGGUCGGCCGCCGCGAGGUGGUGGUGGUCGUCGUUGACCACGUCGGAUCGCUGGAUUCGGCGUCUGGAGUUCUACAUUGGGUUCUUCUCUGUCCUCCUUCCUGGUGGGCUGAACCCCAUGGCUCUUUCAUCUCUGCAGGUUUUGGUUCAUGGCAAUUGCCGGAUCCGGAGCAGACGGAGGUUUGGUGGUAUAGGAUGGGACCGGAGAAAACUUUGGUCGGCUUGUUCGACCCGGCAUCGACGACAUCACUCCAUGUUGUUAUCCUCCUUAGAGGCGAAGCCGAGGUCUGUCCUAUCCACUCCCGAAUCCCUCCAGGACGAAAGUCCAAAAUCCAGUGUGGAUUGGGCGGUGGCGGCGUCCUGCACGUCGUAUUCUCCAUGGAGGCGCCGUCUGGGGAGGACCUCGUAUUCAGAGGCGGGAUGCUGCGGGUGGUGGGGCUCCGCGUAGCUCUAGCAGUGCCGACGGUGUGGUGGUUACCAGGUGGUGCGACGUUGCAUCUACCGUGUUGAUGACGACGAGUUUUGGCGACAUGGUGCAUGUGAAUAUCGUCGACGGAUGCGGCUGGAUGGUCGAGCGCAGGGCGGUGACGCUGUUUGACGUCAUGGUGGCGUCGACUGCAGGCUAACAAGGUUUGCGUCAGUCCCUGCUAUGGAGAUGGAUCGUUGGAAGACGGCGGUGGCGGGUUCAGUGAGUGCGCCGGAUCGGUGUGUGACCCAGUCCCGGUAUGUGGCUAGGAUGGGGUAUCCGGCUUUAGAUGUUAGAUUUUAGUGUGACGUCUGUUUGGUAUUAGGCUCGGACAUUCGGCACCACUAAAUAAAGGCGAUAGAAGUAGCGACACAUGUUGCUAAGAUGGUGGCUCCAGGCUUACUAAUGCACUACAUUAUAAAGUCUUUGUGAAUAAUUAAUAAAAUGGCCGCAUGCAUUGUCCAGAUGCAGAGGCCGGUGGUUUACCGAUUGAUUUGAGAAAUCAUUGACCGGUCCAAAUCCUGAACUAAAUUUAAAAUUAAACACUUCAUUUGAAUGAGAGAACUUCUAAAAAUAUUAUUGACCAAGUCAAAAUUGGGAACCCAAUAAAAAACCAAUGUCCUCGAUUGAAUGGGAGGCCUUUAACCCUAGGAAGAUUGAUAUAGUAGAGUUUGUUCGGAAAACUAUUGAGUUGAUGCUUCCUACUAAUGGUUUUCCUAGAGAACGCUCUUUAGUACGUCUAAUUCUUGUGUGCAAAUCACUGACGCAUAUGUCAAUCCCUAUUAGCUUCAAUGCAUCAUUUUGAGCGUAUGACACUGAAUGUUUGUUCACGCCCCUGUCUUAUCCCUUAACCUCGCAUCAAAAUCACAGCCAGAUGAAAAAAUUUGCAUCGAAGCAUGGCAAUUUUCAAUAGUCUAUCUGAUAGUCCUUAUCGAAAAUCUGGCAUGACAAUGUGGUUCUGUCAGCAUGGCAAUUCCUGAAGACGUAGGCAAAAUUUAUUUUCAUAUAGCAUGGCAAUUCUCUUAUGGAGCAUUGCAAGCCUAUCUGAUAUAGCAUGAAAAUUCAUGAACAUGUGUGGCAAAUUUUCUUUUCUUUUUAGCCUGACAUUUUCUAUGUUGCACCAUGAUAAAUUGCUAAAACACACGUCAAUUUACUUUGCUGCAACAUGACAAAUUCCUAAUAAUUUUUUCUGCUAGCAUGGCAUUUUUUUUCCUUUUCAGCGUGGAAGAACUUUCUGUAAGUUAGAAGUGCACUUUCUCGUGAUGUUGUUUGCUCAAACGAGCCUCCUAUACAGAACGUUCGUUCGCUCAGAUGACCUCCUGAGAAAACAUCAAUGCAAUAUUGAUGUUCAUUUAAUUUGUCUUUUUAUAGCAAUCCUAGNNNNNNNNNNNNNNNNNNNNNNNNNNNNNNNNNNNNNNNNNNNNNNNNNNNNNNNNNNNNNNNNNNNNNNNNNNNNNNNNNNNNNNNNNNNNNNNNNNNNNNNNNNNNNNNNNNNNNNNNNNNNNNNNNNNNNNNNNNNNNNNNNNNNNNNNNNNNNNNNNNNNNNNNNNNNNNNNNNNNNNNNNNNNNNNNNNNNNNNNNNNNNNNNNNNNNNNNNNNNNNNNNNNNNNNNNNNNNNNNNNNNNNNNNNNNNNNNNNUCUAGGCGCUUGACGGAUACUCCUCAUAUCCGAAGGAGGACGGUGCUCCCUCCGCUGCCCCUCCCCCGCCAUCCCGCCCGCGAGGGCAAUCUAAGAUAAGAAAAUUUGCUCCGAGGGUCGUGGUCAUGUGGUGGCCUUGUCGGCGGCGGAUGUAGGGUGGCAUGUCGUGCGGCGGCGCAACCAUAGAUCUGGUCGGUGCGAAUGGCCGCUGGGUCUCUCUCCCCUCCUCCCUGAUCAGGUUUUGUUGUCGUCGAGCUCAUCGCCUUCCCCUUUGCCUGUGGUCUCGUCUUCAUCGCCUGUGCUGCCGUCGGGAUGACAGCCUGGGGCGCUGAGAUCUGGUGCCUCGUCCCCGCCCGUGGUUGGUAGGGCGGAGAUGGCGCUUGCGUCGGGUAGGGAAACCCUAGGGCCAGAUGCCUUGUCGAGGCUGGCCCUAGUGGUGGACCUGGUUACAGGCCGGGGGCCCAAUGGGUCGGUUAGUGCGUCGGAGCUAAGCUUGUCAUCUAAUUUAAUUCCCCCUUGAUCCCCUCUGGCUGGUUAAGUCGAGUGGGCCUCCUUUUGGGCUUGUUUGCCAGCCCACUGUCGGUGUCAAAAUCGGCAGAUCUCGUGUAGGGGGGCCCAAGCUGUGAGUCUAAGGAUCAAUGGUAACAAGGGACAAUGGGGACACGAUGUUUACCCAGGUUCGGGCCCUCUUAAAGGAGGUAAAACCAUACAUCUUGCUUGAUUGUAUUCAAUGAGUAUAGGGGUUACAAGAGUUGAUCUACCUCGAGAUCGUAAUGGCUAAAUGUAGGAUCUUGAAGUAUGUAUAGAGGGGGGGGGGUGAUUAGACUAUUUGACCAAUUAAAAACUUAACCUUUUCCCAAUUUUAGUCUUUGGCAGAUUUUAGCUAUCUUAGCACAAGUCAAGCAAUCUUCACACAAUUCAAGCAAGCAUGCAAAGAGUAUAUGAGCAGCGGAAAUUAAAGCAUGCAACUUGCAAGAAUGUAAAGGGAAGGGUUUGGAGAUUUCAAACGCAGUUUAGAGACAUGGUGAUUUUUGAGCCGUGGUUCCGAUAGGUGGUGCUAUCAUACAUCCACGUUGAUGGAGACUUCAACCCACGAAGGGUAACGGUUGCGCGAGUCCACGGAGGGCUCCACCCAAGAAGGGUCCACGAAGAAGCAACCUUGUCUAUCCCACCAUGUCCGUCGCCCAUGAAGGACUUGCCUCACUAGCGGUAGAUCUUCACGAAGUAGGCGAUCUCCUUGCCCUUACAAACUCCUUGGUUCAACUUCACAAUCUAGUCGGAGGCUCCGAAGUGACACCUAGCCAAUCUAGGAGAUACCACUCUCCAAGAAGUAACAAAUGGUGUGUUGAUGAUGAACUCCUUGCUCUUGUGCUUCAAAUGAUAGUCUCCUCAACACUCAACUCUCUCUCACAGGAUUUGGAUCUGGUGGAAAGAAUAUUUGAGUGGAAAGCAACUUGGGGAAGGCUAGAGAUCAAGAUUCAUAUGGUAGGAAUGGAAUAUCUUGGCCUCAACACAUGAGUAGGUUGUUCUCUCUCAGAAAUGGUAAGUUGGAAGUGUAGGUUUGUUCUGAUGGCUCUCUCCACGAAUGAAGAGGAGGUGGAGGGGUAUAUAUAGCCUCCACACAAAAUCUAACCGUUACACACAAUUUACCAAUCUCGGUGGGACCGAAUCAACAAACUCGGUCGGACCGAUUUAGUAAACCUAGUGACCGUUAGUGAUUUUGAUGGGACCGACAUGCAACUCGGUAGGACCGAUAUGGUUAGGGUUAGGGCAUAACUUAAUCUCGGUGAGACCGAUUACACAAACUCGGUGGGACCGAUUUUGGUAAUAAGCUAACAAGAGAAUUGGUCACGUAAACUCGGUGGGACCGAUUUGCUCUUUUCGGUGGGACUGAAAUGUUAUAAAAAGGAAACAGAGAGUUUACAUUGCAAUCUCGGUGGGACCGAUCGCUCACUUCGGUUAGACCGAAACGUUACGAAGGGAAACAUAGAGAUUACAAUCCCAUCUCGGUGAGACCGAGAUCCCUAUCGGUGAGACCGAUUUGCCUAGGGUUUGUGGCAGUGGCUAUGACAUCUGAACUCGAUGGCGCCGGAUAGAAAGAAUCGGUGGGGCCGAGUUUGACUUUAGGUUUGGGUCAUAUGUGGAUAUGAGAAAGUAGUUGAGGGUUUUUUGGAGCAUAUCACUAAGCACUUAAAGCAAGAAACUCAUCAAGCAACACCUCAUCCCUCCUUGAUAGUAUCGGCUUUUCCUAUAGACUCAAUGUGAUCUUGGAUCACUAAAAUAUAAAAUGUAGAGUCUUGAGAUUUUGAGCUUGAGCCAAUCCUUUUAUCCUUGGUAUUUUGAGGGAUCCACUUUCCUCAUCCAUGCCAUGCCAUUCAUUGAGCUUUUCCUGAAAUAUUUGCCUUAGAAUAGUAUUAGCUCAAUGAGCUACAUGUUGUUAGGAAUUACCAAAACCACCUAGGGAUAGUUGCACUUUCAAUCUCCCCCUUUUUGGUAAUUGAUGACAACAUAUAGAUCAAAGCUUUGACAAAUGAUAAUAAGAUUGAAAAACAUCGUCGCUUUGAGAAGUAUGUGAUAAGCAAGAGCUCCCCCUAAAUUUGUGCAUAGUUUAAGAUUUGCUUUGGAGUGCAAAUGCACAAGGAGUUAGGCUCAUGGGUUACUCUUCCAUGUCACAUACAUCUUGGUGGAGCGCUCAAAAUAAUAAAGAUUGAAUACAUGCACUCAUCACCAAGCAAAGUGAAUGAUCAUAUAAAGAUAAAUGGGAUAAUGUCAUCUAACAAUCAUAAAUGUAGCACAUGAUCAAACACAUGAUUAUUAUUGUAUCACAUAGACAAUAACGUAGUAUCUCAAGCAAGCAAAAGCAAAUAAAGUUCAACCACGAAGACAAGAGAGAACAAAAGCAAACUCUCUCUCUUGAAGCCUAUGAUCUAUACAUUUUUCUCCCCCUUUGGCAACAAGUUACCAAAAAGUUCCUAGAAAAUGCAUAGUACUAUUUCGUCUCUCAGGCUUGAUCUUCAGGUGGUGGUGUAGAGAUGGCUCCUUGGACGAAGACUUCAGUUGAUGUGGAUAGAUCUGGAGGAGUUGGUGCUGGAGCUGGUUACACUGGAGCUAUAGCUGGUGCAGAUGAAGUGGCUCUGGUGUCUGUCACAAGCUCUGCAACUGAUCUCUGAGCUCGAGGCACUCUAGGAAAUGCAUCAGUGGUUGUCCUGCCCUUCCUCUCAUGCAUGUCAUCCUGUAGCUGCUCCACAAUUGACUGGAUCUCAGUUACUUUCACAUCUAGGUCAUAGAACUUUUGUUCCAUGAUUCUUUCCAGGCUCUCCUGGUUUUGAGUUAGGGUGGCCAACCCUUUCUCAAUCCUCAGAGUUGAUGCUAUUAAGUAACCAAGCUAGUCUUGCUUGCUCUUCAAAAAGUACUCAGAUGCCUCCUCUAAAGUUGGCAUCUUGGCAGCCUUCUCCUUCUUUGCCUUCUCCUUCUUCUCUUGAGCUUGCACUGAGGAUGGUUCAUUCUCAUUCAUGACAACUUGAUUGUCCUCAAAAUCUGGAUAGAUAGUAAAGUGUUCCUUAUCCAACAAGUAUUUUCCUGUGCCCAUCUUGGAGUUGAUCAGCUCCUAGAUUUGUGGGGCAUACCCACAACUUCUCUUCUGGUCUGCUGCUGUACUCUUGAUAGUCUCAACUAUGAGGCUCAUGACCUUGAAUUUCUGUGACACAUCAAAUAUGUGUAGCAAAUUUAUUGCAUGCCCUCUUAUCAUGUUGUGGUCACCUGACUUGGGCAAGAGAGUGUGCCUUAGGAUCCAGUUGAUCGUUGGCAGCCCUGACAGAAGAAAAUGGACAGACCCAAACUUGAAAGUCUCAAGUGCCUUGUCUGGGAUAUCCUUGUACAUGUGUGACAUAGAUUUGUGAUCCUUCUUCUUCUUGGAGUAGACAUCCAAGUCAUCUUCACUCUCCUCUGGUGCAUUGAUCUGUUCAGCCCAUUCUUCAAUAGUGGAUUGGUACCUUGUACCUUCAGACAUCCAGACUAUUCUGCCAUCAGGAUAAAAGUGAGUUGUGGAGUAGAAUUGCAUUACUAGCUCAUCAUUCCAGUUUGUGAACUUCUGUCCAGCAAACUCAUCAACUCCACAAGCCUUAAAACUGUCAAACACUCUUGGGUAGUGAUCCUCAUUUUCCUUCAUGUAUUUCCAGUCUACCCACCUCAUGUCACAAACUAUGGGCUUCUUAUCCAACAACACAGUCUCAUAAAAAUCCUGUUGUUCCUUAGUGUGGAACCUGUAAUCAACAGCAGUCCUCCUUCUGAUUGCAUAGGGAUCAGACAAUCUCCACUGCCUGAGCCCUGCAUCCUUCCUCAGCUUCAUGUUCUCAGCCACUGGAUGAGCAUCAUUGUGGUCUAGAGUCUUGGGUUUCAGCUUCCUCAGAACUUGUCCUUCAUCUUCUUCCUCAGCAGCAACUUCAGGCACUGGGGCCUUGUUCUUCUCGGCAGCUGGUAUGCUCCUGGUAUUCCUUUUAGGUGCAGACUUGGCCUUAGAGGUAGCUUUGGGUGCUUCUUUGGGCUUUGAUGUUGCAGCCCCUGACCUUAUAGCAUCACCCAUAAGCUUUUGUGCCUUGGGUGCUGGUGCAGGUGCAGCAACCUCUUCUUCCUCCUCCUCUUCCAUCAUGGAAGGUUGUCCAACAACUCUGGCCAUGGUCUUCUUGACCCUUUCCUUCCUCUUCUUUCCUUCUGCAGCAACCUCUUUGGGAUCAAGUUUCUCAGGUUCUUGAGUUGAUCCUCUAACCUUCAGCAUAGGUGUCCUCUUGGCAGGGACCUUCCUGUUUAGUCCAGGCUUUGUGGUCUUAGCUAAGCCAUACUCCUUUUUGAGCACUAUCUUCUUGGAAGUAGCCUCAUCUUCAGGUGCCACAUAUUCUUCAUCCUCAGAGUCGGAGGUUCUCUUCCUUCUGGUCCUUGUGGCUGCUUUGGGCAAAUUGCUAGGAGUGCUCCUGCUGCCCUCAUCUGAGGUGCUAGAGGGACUAGUGCCCUCACUCAUGUGAAUCUGCUCCUCUUCCCUGUUCUGGCUGUCACUUUGGUCUGACAUGCUGCAAACACUGACUGCUGACCCUGUGAAUAGAUGUAGUUGAGAUAGAAUGGAUGAGCAUCACAAAAUGCAGAGGUUUUUGCAAAAGAGUGAUUCAAAAACUUAGUUUUAGUUUUCCACAGAAAGCAUUUCAGAUCAACCGAUUUGCAAAAUCGGUGAUACCGAAGCAGCUUUUGGAACCUAAACUAGUGAACUCAGUCAAACUGAGUCACAGUUCCGUGGCACCGAGACUGCUAGGGUUUUACAGAGUUCUAAAAUCGGUCACACCGAUUCGCAAUUCUUGGUCAGACCGAGAAUCACUUAUGCAAUGGCCUCAGUCGAAUUGGUGGAACCGAGUUUUUCAACUCGGUGGGUCCGAGAUGGUUUCGGCGGAAACCUAACCCUAAUUUUUCAAUUCACAUCUAAUCUAAGGAUUGUUUUGACUAGAUAGAUGCGUUUCAAUCGCGUCAAGAAUUAUAAUGAACACAAUGUGCUAGGAAUCGGACGGGGAUAGCACUGUGAUCGAGUCCAUACCCUAGUUUGGCAAUGAACUCACUAUGGCGGCAACGGCGGGGAUGAAUUCCGUUGAUGGCGGCGGAGACAGCGACUGGAGGCGGCUGGCGACGAAGUCGACAAUCCGGAGACCUUGGAGGCAGAGCGAGCUAUGCGCGGGCGAAGAGGUUUGGAGAAGGUUUCCAAAUUUUUGCCCGUGAGUAUAUAUAGCCCGACCCUAUCGGUGUGACCGAGUGGAACAACUCGGUGGCACCGAGAUGCAUAACUGUUGACAGUUACAGCAACUCGGUGAGACCGAAAAGUUCAAAUCGGUUGCACCGAGAUUGAAAACCUAGAUCGACUUAGUGAUCUCGGUAUGACCAAAAUGGAAGAAUUGGUCAGACCGAAACACACAAAGAAGUUUUGGAAGUUUAAGUCCAUGACGAAUCGGGGACUCCGAGUGCUCCUCACACAGAGUGGUUUGAAUCUGACUUGAUCAAAUUUUGUGAUGUAGCAUGAAUAGAGUUUGAGACAAGAAAAGCAUAGAUAGCUAGAGAAGGUUCUUAGGCAUUCUUGUUCAUCCACUUGGCAAAAGAAAAAGAAGCCAAUCAAUCAAAGCAACAAGUGGAUGUCCUCGAAUGAGUUAAAUAUGCAACCAAAAUGCUCACACAAUAAAAUGGCAAAUGAAAUAUGUGGCAAAGCAUGCACAACCAAUUCUAGCAUCUAUCAAGCAAUUGGGGAUGACUAGGUCAUCUAUAUAUGAGUAUAUUGACUUAGGAGUCAAAUGAGAACAUUUGAUCAUAGGUCAUACUCAUCGUUUAAGCUCAAGUGGGGUUACCACUUUUACAUAAUGCAUUGAUGUGUUCACAUCAUUAGAGUUGCUUUGACUCAAUUCUUAGAGUUAAGCUCCCCCUAGAUGUGAGAUCCCCCCUAAGAGGGAUGAACUAACCUUGGGUUUUGUCGAUGAUGACUUCAUGUAGGUGUUGAAGAUGUGGAUGCUCAAUGUUGGUGAAGAUCAUUUGGAGCAAUCCUUUGGAGUGAGUUGCACUUUCAAUACCUACACGGGUUAGUCCCACAAGGAACAAACAAGUAUAUCCAUACACAUAGAGUGAUGCACACACAAGAUGAUGUCCAUGAAAACAUUAGGUUACCUUGUCCCUUGUCUUACCAACAAGAGGGUUUGUGACUCCUUGAACUAGUGCAAGAUGUCGAAGUUGAUUGCACUUGUCCUUGCCAUAAUGAUAUGAGUGAAGAAUGUUGGCGGAGUCACCCUCAAGAACUCUCUAGUUCUUCUUCUUCGGGAUCCACAUCAUCUUGAUGGGAAUCCUUGGAGUUGUAGUCGUGCUUGAUGAAGUAGAACUUGACGUAGUCUUGGGAACCCACUUGACCAAGGUCUUAGGAGCUUCUUCAAAUGCAUCAAUCUCCUCUUGAAGCUUGUCCUUGCCUUUGUGCUUGUGGUCUUGUGGUGGAAGAUCAUCUUGAGCAUGUGUCCCCUUGAAGGAAGUAGGAUCAUACUUCCCUUGUUGAGGAACAAACUUCGUCUUGGGAUAUUGAUCUUAUUCCCACUCAACUCCAUUGGCAUUGAACUUUCGUUCAAAACCAACACCUUGGUUCUUACGGUGCCUUCCUUGCUUGUGUACAAUUUCCUCGAAUUGCUUACUCCCGGCAAGGCUCUUGUAUACACCUUUCUCUAUAAUUCCCUUCAAUAAGCUAUUUUCUUGCUCAAGUGUAACUUGGCUAAGAGAAUCAUUAGUGGAAUCAAAAUCAAGAGAACUACUAGAAGCAACAAUAUUGGAUUUAGCAUGAUUAUUGUUACUACUAGAGGAAGAAUCCUUCUUGUUCUUGUUAUUAGACUUGACUUGAGGCAUGUAAGUAGAUAAGAGUAAACGCUUGGCAAUGUAAGAAGAACUUUUGUUACGGAGAUCAUCAUUGAUUGCCUUUAAGAACUCAUGCUCUUGCUCAAGGUUGAGCUUUUCAAAGCGUAGCUUCUCAUGAGCCCUUAAAAGUUCUCGAUGAUCUUCUAAGAUAGUUUCUUUAGCUAACUUAAGAGUGUUUAGUUCUUUAGCUAGAAGCUCAAUCUUCUCCUUAUCAUUGUCAUUCGUUUUAUCUUGUUUAGCAUGAUUAAUUGACGUUUCAUCAUAGUAUUCAUCACUAGAGUUGUCAACAAGUAAAUCAUCAUCACCUAACAAGUCAUCUUCAUCAGUAUUGAAAUCAACAUACUUGGGGUGUGUUACCUUAGGGCCUUUAGCCAUGAAGCAUCUUCCAAGUCCUUCAUUUGGUGAAUCAAAUAUGCCGUAGGAGUUGGUUAACACAAGUGCUAGACCAGCAACACCUUCAUCUUGAGUAUGUUCGGAGUCGGAGUGAUAGCUUCUCUCGGAGUGAUGUUCAGAGUCAGAACCGGAUACCCAUUCACCAACAUGAGCUUGAUGUCUUCAUUUUGUGUAGCUCUUUGAUGACUUGUCCUUCCUUUCCGAAUCCUUGCUUCUCCGGGAUGUUCUUCGUUCAUAACGAUCAUCUCUACUCCUCCUCUCUAUUGGCGGUGAUUCUUCUCUUCUACUUCUUCUCUUGGGAGAAUCUUCUCUUCUUUUGUAGGGUGUCGUACACUCAUUGGAAUAGUGUUCGAGUCUCCCACAAUUGUAGCAAUUGUGCUCUCGACUGGAAGAUCUUUUGUCAUUGUAGGACCUUGACUUGGAGCUUCUUUCUUUGCUUCUACUCUUGUAGAAUUUGUUGAAGUUCUUCACCAUUAAGCUCAAUUCUUCAUUGAAGGUUUGUUUCUCACUUGAUGAUGUGGGAGCUUCACAUAAGGCUUUGUAAGCACCACUUGACUUGUUAUGAAGUCCCUCCUUAUCCUUGAGUGACAUCUCAUGAGCAACAAUUCUUCCAGUGACUUCCGUUGGCUUGAGAUUCUUGUAGUUGGGCAUCAUUUGGAUCAAUGUGCACAUGGUAUCAUAUUUUCCAUCCAAUGCUCUUAGGAUCUUCUUGAUGAUGAAUCUGUUGGUCAUCUCUUCACUUCCUAAGCCUGCAAUCUCAUUUGUGAUAAGAGCAAGCCUAGAGUACAUUUCAGCGACACCUUCACCAUCAUUCAUUUUGAACUUGUCAAGUUGACUUUGGAGCACAUACAAUUUGGAUUCCUUGACGGAGUCGGUACCUUCAUGCAUAUCAAUCAAAGUAUCCCAGAUUUCCUUUGCAUUCUCAAUACGGCUGAUUUUGUUGAAUUCUUCGGGGCACAAUCUGUUGAAGAGGAUAUCACAAGCUUGAGCAUUGUAUUGCAGCAUCUUCAAUUCAUCUGCGCUAGCUUCAUGGUUCGGUUCUCUCCCAUCGAAGAAUUCACCUUGGAAGCCAAUACACACAAUAGCCCAAACGACGGGGUUAUGUCCGAGAAUAUGCAUUUUCAUCUUAUGCUUCCAACUAGACAAAUUAGUACCAUCAAAGUAAGGACCUCUACGGAGAUAAUUUCCCUCGCUACACGCCAUACUCUCCUAGGUUGUGAAACCAAGGCUAUGACCACCAAAAUCUAUGGAAAUCAAAGCAAAUGGAGACCAAGGCUCUGAUACCACUUGUAGGAUCUUGAAGUAUGUCUAGAGGGGGGGUGUGACUAGACUACUUGGCCAAUUAAAAACUUAACCUUUUCCCAAUUUUAGUCUUUGGCAGAUUUUAGCUAUCUUAUCACAAGUCAAGCAAUCUUCACACAAUUCAAGCAAGCAUGCAAAGAGUAUAUGAGCAGCGGAAAUUAAAGGAUGCAACUUGCAAGAAUGUAAUGGGAAGGGUUUGGAGAUUUCAAACGCAAUUUGGAGACACGGUGAUUUUUGAGCCGUGGUUCCGAUAGGUGGUGCUAUCGUACAUCCACGUUGAUGGAGACUUCAACCCACGAAGGGUAAUGGUUGCGCGAGUCCACGGAGGGCUCCACACAAGAAGGGUCCACGAAGAAGCAACCUUGUCUAUCCCACCAUGGCCGUCGCCCACGAAGGACUUGCCUCACUAGCGGUAGAUCUUCACAAAGUAGGUGAUCUCCUUGCCCUUACAAACUCCUUGGUUCAACUCCACAAUCUUGUCGGAGGCUCCCAAGUGAUGCCUAGCCAAUCUAGGAGACACCACUCUCCAAGAAAUAACAAAUGGUGUGUUGAUGAUGAACUCCUUGCUCUUGUGCUUCAAAUGAUAGUCUCCCCAACACUCAACUCUCUCUCACAGGAUUUGGAUCUGGUGGAAAGAAGAUUUGAGUGGAAAGCAACUUGGGGUAGGCUAGAGAUCAAGAUUCAUAUGGUUGGAAUGGAAUAUCUUGGCCUCAACACAUGAGUAUGUGGUUCUCUCUCAGAAAUGGUAAGUUGGAAGUGUAGGUUUGUUCUGAUGGCUCUCUCCACAAAUGAAGAGGAGAUGGAGGGGUAUAUAUAGCCUCCACACAAAAUCUAACCGUUACACACAAUUUACCAAUCUCGGUGGGACCGAAUUAACAAACUUGGUCGGACCGAUUUAGUAAACCUAGUGACCGUUAGUGAUUUCGGUGGGACCGACAUGCAACUCGGUAGGACCGAUAUGGUUAGGGUUAGGGCAUAUCGUAAUCUCGGUGAGACCGAUUACACAAACUCGGUGGGACCGAUUUUGGUAAUAAGCUAACCAGAGAGUUGGUCAUCGCUCUUUUCAGUGGGACCGAAAUGUUACAAAAAGGAAACAGAGUGUUUACAUUGCAAUCUCGGUGGGACCGAUCGCUCACUUUGGUUAGACCGAAAUAUUACGAAGGGAAACAGAGAGAUUGCAAUCCCAUCUUGGUGAGACCGAGAUCCCUAUCGGUGAGACUGAUUUGCCUAGGGUUUGUGGCAGUGGCUAUGACAUCUGAACUCGGUGGCGCCGGAUAAAAAGAAUUGGUGGGGCCGAGUUUGACUUUAGGUUUGAGUCAUAUGUGGAUAUGAGAAAGUAGUUGAGGGUUUUUUGGAGCAUAUCACUAAGCACUUGAAGCAAGAAACUCAUCAAGCAACACCUCAUCCCUCCUUGAUAGCAUUGGCUUUUCCUAUAGACUCAAUGUGAUCUUGGAUCACUAAAAUAUAAAAUGUAGAGUCUUGAGCUUUUGAGCUUGAGCCAAUCCUUUUAUCCUUGGUAUUUUGAGGGAUCCACUUUCCUCAUCCAUGCCAUGCCAUUCAUUGAGCUUUUCCUGAAAUAUUUGUCUUGGAAUAGUAUUAGCUCAAUGAGCUAUAUGUUGUUAGGAAUUACCAAAACCACCUAGGGAUAGUUGCACUUUCACUAAACCCUACCUAUCUAGCCUAUGAUUUUUCGGAUAGCCUCUACGGACUAAACCCUCCGGUUUAAAUACACACCGGAGGGACCUAGGGUUGUACAGAGUCGGUUUACAAGUGAAGGAAAUAGUACAUCCGGACACCAAUCUUGCCGUCCACGCAUAUAGGAGUCCUACCCGGACAUGGGGCAUGAUCUUCUGCUUUAUCUUCACACCCCAUCAGUCCGGCCCAUAUGCAAUUGCACCAGCAGAAUGAGGUAUACUGGAGACAACGCGACACUAUUAUCUGGACCUUGAAGGGCUACUCUCUAUCUACUUAUUUCUUUGCCAUUGCCAAUUGUCGUUGUCGUAGAUGUUUGAUUGAUAGUUUGGUUAUUGAUGGUGUUAGGGUGGUUAACCCUCACAUCAUCAUGGAGCAUGUGUUUAAUUUCUUUUCUAGCUUGUUGACUGCUAGGCCGGCUUUUGGUUCUAUUAUCUUCCCAACUUCUAGCACCAAGAUAGGAGGGUUUCAGACAAGGAGAAUGUGGCCCUAUCGGUUCCCCUAUUUGUGGAAGAAAUUGAGAUGGCCAUUAACUCUGCCAACAAGAACUCGACUUCUGCCCCGGAUGGAUUCUCCAUCCCCUUCUUCAGAUGGUUUGGGCCUAUCUUGCGCCCUUUGGUCUAUACUAUUAUCCAAGGUUUUUUUGCUUAGGCACUAUGGACAUCUCUUGCCUUAACUAUGCCAUUAUGUCCCUCUUCACCAAGGUCAAGGGUGCUGAUUCUAUCUCUAACUUUCGCCCCAUUACCCUGAUUAACAACUUUGCUAAAUUCCCUGCUAAAUGGUUGGCAACAAGGAGGACAUCUGUUGCUCACUGUACCGUUAGUCAUACUCAGCCAGCCUUCAUUAAAGAGAGGCAUAUUCUGGAGGGUAUUCUUUGCUUGCACAAAUUUUUCCAUGAUAUUAGAAUGCGUGGCACUCGGGCAAUUAUCCUAAAACUAUAUUUUGAAAAGGCUCAUGACUUGGUGAGUUGGGAUUUUCUUCGGCAAGUGUUGCAUGCCAAGGGGUUCGAAUCUGGCUUCGUGCAUAGACUGAUGCAACUAGUGUCUGGGGACACACGACAGUGGCAGUUAAUGGUUCGAUCAUCAAAUACUUUGUCAAUGGUAGGGGCCUACGACAAGGUGAUCCCGUAUCCCCUAUUCUUUUCAACUUCCUGGCUGACGUGUUGUCCUGUUUGUUGGACCGGGCGGCCUCGGCUGGGUAUAUCACUCCUGUCAUCUCCCAUUUACUUCCUCACGGCAUGACUCACCUCCAGUAUGCUGAUGAUGUUAUCAUUUUAGUGGAACUCAAUGACACUUGCCUUACCAAUCUAAGUUCAUUUUCCUAUGCUUCGAAGCUUUGUUGGGGCUAAAAAUCAACUUCUCUAAAAGUGAGGUCAUUGUAACUGGGGUCGAGGACAAUGAGGCUCUACGGGUGUCCCGGCUUCUUAACUGUUCUCUUGGGUCCUUUCCUUUCAAGUACCUAGGGCUCACUAUCUCCCCUUUCCACCUCUGUGCUAAGGAAUUUAAACCUCUGGUUUCUAAGGUGGGUAAUACAGUCAUGCCUUGGCGCGGUAGAUACAACACCUCUGCUGGGAAAGUUUGUCUUAUUAAUGCUUGCCUUUCUUCCCUUCCUAUGUUUACCAUGGGCUUUUAUAGACUGUCUAAGGGUACUCAUGGGUUUUGAUAAGCAUAGGGGUGCUUUUUACUGGAAUUCUGCGGAUAACAAGCGUAAGUAUAGAUUUGUUAAGUGGGCUAUUAUAUGCAGACCUAAAAGCCUUGGGGGGCUUGGGAUUCUUAAUACUUCCAUCAUGAACACGUGUCUCUUUCUAAAUGGUGGUGGAAGAUUAUGAAUGAUACCCCCGACACCAUUUGGUUUGAUCUCCUAAAAUCUAAGUACUUCCCUAAUGGCAGUCCCAUGUUUUCUUCGGCGAAUCAUGGCUCACAAUUUUGGAAGGACCUUGUUAGGGUGAGCGAUGUUUUCGGGAGCAAGUUAAUUUUGUGGUAAAUAAUGGUGUCUCCACUUGUUUUUGGUUGGAUUGGUGGACUAGUGAGUCCACCCUUGCUUCUGCUUUCCCUACCUUGUUCUCCUGUUUGCCUUCUCCUGAGAUUUCAAUCUCUGAGCUCUCCUAGAAUAACUGGGACUUGGGUUUCCGAAUGUCCCUUUUUCCUGAAGAACUAGGGGACUGACAUCGCCUUGUUUCUAUGUUCCCAAUCCUCUUGGAUGAGGAGGGCUCGGUUCCCUGGCCCCAUGCCGCGUCUGGAAAGUUUUCCCUUAAUUCUCUGUAUACUAGAAUUAUUGAUGGUACCCCUACUUCCAUGUUCAAACCCAUUUGGGCUGCCAGGAUCCCUCCCAAGAUCAAGAUUUUUCUCUGGCAGGCCACUAGGGGUUGGCUGCCCUCUACAGAUCAGAUUCAGAAAAGGAACAACCCUGGCUCGGACGCUUGUGCUUUAUGCACUGCGCAUGAGGACACUAACCAUAUCUUCUUUCGUUGUACCCUGGCCAAGCUAAUGUGGGGUUGUGUUCGAUCGUGGUUGCAAACCUCUUGGGCCCCCACUUCGUUCUCAGAUGUUCGCUAGUUAACUUCUAACCUUCAGGGGUGCUCUAAGAGGAUAUUUUGGGUCGGAUUGGGUGCUCUUUGCUAGUCGCUAUAGACUACCAGAAAUAAAUUCACCAUUGAGGGUGUGUUUCCUAACAAACAUGCUGAUGUCCUAUUUAAAAUGUCUAUUAUCUUGCAGCAGUGGAAAUUACUGACUAAGCCUGUGGACUGGGACGGGUGGGAGGUGCUGAUCAACAAAGUUCGAGCGUCUACCAAUCUACUAUCUUCUCCUCCCGCCGCAACGUCUUUGUAGUUUGAUGAAUCUAUCCUUAAGCAGUAGGUGGUUGGCCUGCGUGCCUUUGUAUUUGUCAUUUGGGAUUGCGCUCUGCUGAACUAUGGUCUCUGUACUAUGUGGUGGUUGGCCCUGUCUGUUUUGGGUAAACUGUUUGAUUGUUGUUGGAUGGUUGUUACUCUACCGUGUGGCUUUAUUUAUAAAGUCGGGCGUAUGCCUAUUCUCUAAAAAACAAUGCACAAUCGGUGGUAAAAUCUAAUAUAAUCUAGUCAUUUCAAAAAACAAGAAACAAAAAUAAUCUAGUCACUUCAGCAAGCGUGUUUGGAUCAGUGCAAAAUUCAAAUAAUGCAUAAUCCUAAACAAUCCAGUCCGCAAAUCAGGAGAAGCAACAAACCAAAAAAAAUCCAGUCUGCAAAGAGAGAUGCAUUGUACUUACAACACCGCCGGAGGUGGAGCAGGAGCAGACGAAGGAACAUCAAAUUGACCUCGCGCCUAUCACAGUCGAAAUCAGAGUCACAACAAGCAAAGUUUUGGCCGCCUUAGUCGAGGUACCAUUCGAAGGAACAUCAAAUUGGGUCGGAGCAAGGGAAGAAAACCCUCGCGAUGAAGUCAAAAUUCCUGCCGUGGGCACGGUCGUUGUGCCGGCACUCACAAUUCUCAUCCACACUGUCGUAGCAAUUGAAGUACUUAUCACCACUGGCAUGCCUACGAAUGUCGAUGAGCGGUCGUUAGUUGCCGACCGCGACCUUGUGCAAAAGAGGGAAGGGGCCUUCAGAGCCCUCACCAAUGGAAGAGGGUCCACACCCCCUUCUCGGCUCAAGUCAUCGAACCAAUGUGACAGAUUGUUGGGAACAGGGGUAUCCCUAAUUUUACGUAAAUGGGAUUCAUUGGAAAAACCAAAUCAGACUAAAACUUGGAAAAAGGUUCAUUUACUAUUGACUAUUAUUUCCCACCCGAAGACAUGCAUUGAUACAUGGCUACUAUGACAACACCAGUCACAAAGGAUCGCCGGGGAAGCAAAUGAUGACAUUAGUGACAGAAUCUGGGGCUGGAGCCCCAAGCAGCCAACACACCUAUAGCAAGGGAUGGUGGCCCUUGCGUAGCACUCCAUCAACCGAGCAUUUAAUGCCCGCCCAGGAUGUACCUCAUAGCCCGUCCUCGGCCUACGAAAAUAUGCCAUCAUGACGAAGACCAGAAUGGACGGGCGUCUCAGCACUUGACACUACUAGUGUCUGGUCAUCUAUUGACAAAACCAACGACAAGUUGCAUGCAACACUUAAAACUUUGUGCACCCAUUCACACACAAUUAGGUGACCAUUGUGGUGCCCCUAGACCUAUAUAAGGGGAGGACCAGGUCAUUUAUAGGGAGAGAAGACACAACACAACCAUCAUAGAGCUCAUCAUCAUACACCACCCAAGGAGAAUACCAAGUAGUAGCCUCGUCCCAGAGAAGGCAAGAGGGUUAGAGUUAGGAGUGCUCAGGUACUCUAGCUAGGACCCCAACCAUCAAUGGUCGCACCCUGACCACCAUCUUUGUAACACUCUAGCACUUGUAGUCCUUGUUGGGAAAUGUUGCAUGGAAAACAAAAACAAUUCUACACACAUGCAAGGUCUAUCCCUGGAGAUGCAUAGCACCGAGAGGGGAGAGUGUGUCUACGUACCCUCGUAGACCGUAAGCGGAAGUAUUUAACAACACGGUUGAUGUAGUCGAACUUCUUCACACUCCAACUGAUCAAGUACCGAACAUACGACACCUCCGCGUUCUGCACACGUUCAGCUCGGUGAUGUCCUCCACCUUCUUGAUCCAGCAAGACGGCAAGGUAGUAGAUGAGUUCUGGCAACACGAUGGCGUCGUGACGAUUAUGGUGAUGCCAUCUCCGUUGGGCUUUGCCUAAGCACUACGAUAAUAUGACCGAGGGAGUAAACGAUGGAUGGGGGCGCCGCACACGGCUAAGACAAUGUUGUAUACUUGUGUGGCGCCCCCUCCCCAUGUAUAUAUAGGUGGGAGGGGAGGAGGCAGCCCCUGGGGCGCCCCAAGAGACCUGGCGGCAGCCCUAGGGCUGCUGCCUUGCCCUGUGCCCCCUUGGAGUGUGGGAGGAAGGCAGGGGAGGGUGGCGCCCCCUUCCUUUCUCACAUGAGGAGGGAAAGGCAGGAGGGGCCACCCUCCCCUUUCCUUCCCCAUAGGGCCGGCCAGCCAUGGGAGGGGCGCACCAGCCCCCUUGUGGGCUGGUCUGUCCCCUCCUUUGGCCCAUAAGGCCCAUAUCUUCUCGGGAGGUGCCCGGAACCCCUUUCGCUGACCUGAUUUCUUCCCGGUACGUCCCGAAACACUUCCGGUGUCGAAACACCAUCGUCCUAUAUACAAAUCUUUACCUGUCGACCAUUUCGAGACUCCUCGUCAUGUCCUUGAUCUCAUCUGGGACUCCGAACAACAUUCGGUCACCAAAUCAUAUAACUCAUAUAACACUAUGUCGUCAACGAACGUUAAGCGUGUGGACCCUAUGGGUUCAAGAACUAUGUAGACAUGACCGAGACACCACUCUGGUCAAUAAUCAAUAGCGAAACCUGGAUGCCCAUAUUGGCUCCUACAUAUUCUACUAGGUGUUGGGGAACGCAGUAAUUUCAAAAAAAAAUUAUGAUCAUGCAAAAUCUAUCUUGGUGAUGCAUAGCAACGAGAUGGGAGAGUGUGUCCACGCACCCUCGUAGAACAAAAGCAGAAGCGUUUGAAUAACGCGGUUGAUGUAGUUGAAGUUCUUCGCGAUCCAACCAAUCAAGUACCAAACACCGACACCUGCACGUUCAGCACACAUUCAGCUCGAUGACGUCCCUCGUGCUCUUGAUCCAGCUGAGGACGAGGGUGAGUUCUGUCGGCACGAUAGCGUGGUGACGGUGAUGAUGAUGCUACCGGCUCAGGGCUUUACCUAAGCACUACGAUGGUAUGAUCGAGGUGUGUAACUUUGGAGGGGGGCACCACACACGGUUGGGAGAGAAACUUGUGUGUUCUCGGGUGCCCCUGCUCCCGUAUAUAAAGGAUCAAGGGGGAGGCCAGCCGGCCCCUAGGGCGCGCCCCAAGAGGGGAGUCCUACUAGGACUACUAGUCCUAGUAGGAUUCCACCAAGAGGGAGAGAGGGGGAAGGAAGGAGAGGGAGAGGGAAUAGGAAAGGGGGGCGCCAACCCCCUUCCCUAGUCCAAUUCGGACCCAAGGGGGAGGGGGCGGGCGGCCUGCCCUGGCCGCCCAUGUCUCUCUCCACCAAGGCCCAUGUGUCCCAUUCGUUCCCCGGGGUUCCGGUAACCCCUCCGGCAGUCCGAUUUUACCCGAAACUUUCCGGAACACUUCUGAUGUCCGAAUAUAGCUGUCCAAUAUAUCAAUCUUUAUGUCUCGACCAUUUCAAGACUCCUCGUCACGUCUGUGAUCUCAUUCGGGACUCCAAACAAACUUCGGUCAUCAAAAACACAUAACUCAUAAUACAUAUCAUCACCGAAUGUUAAGCGUGCGGACCCUACGGGUUCGAGAACUAUGUAGACAUGACCGAGACUCAUCUCCGUUCAAUAACGAAUAGCGGAACCUGGAUGCUCAUAUUGGCUCCCAGAUAUUCUACGAAGAUCUUUAUCGGUUAAACCGCAUAACAACAUACGUUGUUCCCUUUAUCAUUGGUAUGUUAGUUGCCCGAGAUUCGAUCAUCGGUAUCAUCAUACCUAGUUCAAUCUCGUCACCGGCAAGUCUCUUUACUCGUUCCGUAAUACUUCAUCACGCAACUAACUCAUUAGUCACACUGCUUGCAAGGCUUAUAGCGACGAGCAUUACCGAGAGGGCCUGGAGAUACCUCUCCGAAACACAGAGUGACAAAUCCUAAUCUCGAUCUAUGCCAACCGAACAAACACCUUCGGAGACACCUGUAGAGCACCUUUAUAAUCACCCUUUUACAUUGUGACGUUUGGUAGCACACAAAGUGUUCCUCUGGUAUUCGGGAGUUGCAUAAUCUCGUAGUCUGAGGAACAUGUAUAAGUCAUGAAGAAAGCAGUAGCAAUGAAACUAUAACGAUCAUAAUGCUAAGCUAACGGAUGGGUCAUGUCCAUCACAUCAUUCUCCUAAUGAUGUGAUCCCGUUCAUCAAAUGACAACAAAUGUCCAUUGUUAGGAAACUUAACCAUCUUUGAUUAACGAGCUAGUCAAGUAGAGGCAUACUAGGGACACUAUGUUUUGUCUAUGUAUUCACACAUGUACUAAGUUUCCGGUUAAUACAAUUCUAGCAUGAAUAAUAAACAUUUAUCAUGAAAUAAGGAAAUAAAUAAUAACUUUAUUAUUUCCUCUAGUGCAUAUUUCCUUCAGUCUCCCACUUGCACUAGAGUCAAUAAUCUAGAUUAAAAAGUAAUGAUUCUAACACCCAUGGAGUUUUGGUGCUGAUCAUGUUUUGCUCGUGGAAGAGGCUUAGUCAAUGGGUCUGCAACAUUCAGAUCCGUAUGUAUCUUUCAAAUCUCUAUGUCCCCCUCCGACACUUGAUGAUAGAUGGAAUUGAAGUGUCUUUUAAUGUGCUCGGUUCUCUUGUGAAAUCUGGAUUCCUUUGCCAAGGGAAUUGCACUAGUAUUGUCACAAAAGAUUUUCAUUGGACCCGAUGCACUAGGUAUGACACCUAGAUCAGAUAUGAACUUCUUCAUCUAAACUCCUUCAUUUGCUGCUUCCGAAGCAGCAAUGUACUCCGCUUCACACUUAGAUCCCGCCACAACACUCUGCUUGGAACUGCACCAACUGAUAGCUUCUCCAUUCAAUAAAAAUACGUAUCCAGAUUGCGACUUAGAGUCACACGGAUCAGUGUCAAAGCUUGCAUCAACGUAACCGUUUACGACGAGAUCUUCUUCACCUCCAUAAACAAGAAACAUAUCCUUAGUCCUUUUCAGGUAUUUGAGGAUGUUCUUGACCGCUGUCGAGUGCUCCACUCCGGGAUUACUUUGGUACCUCCCUGCUAUACUUAUAGUAAGACACACAUCAGGUCUGGUACACAGCAUUGCAUACAUGAUAGAACCUAUGGCUGAAGCAUAGGGAACGACUUUCAUUUUCUCUCUAUCUUCUGCAGUGGUCGGGCAUUGAGUCUGACUCAACUUCACACCUUGUAACACAGGUAAGAACCCUUUCUUUGACUGAUCCAUUUUGAACUUCUUAAAAACUUUAUCAAGGUAUGUGAUUUGUGAAAGUCCAAUUAAGCGUCUUGAUCUAUCUCUAUAGAUCUUUGAUGCCCAAUAUGUAAGCAGCUUCUCCGAGGUAUUUCAUUGAAAAACUCUUAUUCAGGUAUCCCUUUAUGCUAUCCAAAAAUUCUAUGUCAUUUCAAAUCAACAAUAUGUCAUCCACAUAUAAUAUUAGAAAUGCUACAGAGCUCCCACUCACUUUCUUGUAAAUACAGGCUUCUCCAAAAGUCUGUAUAAAACCAUAUGCUUUGAUCACACUAUCAAAGAGUUUAUUCCAACUCCGAGAGGCUUGCACCAGUCCAUAAAUGGAUCGCUGUAGCUUGCACACUUUGUUAGCACCCUUUGGAUGGACAAAACCCUCUGGUUGCAUCAUAUACAACUCUUCUUCCAGAAAUCCAUUCAGGAAUGUAGUUUUGACAUCCAUCUGCCAAAUUUCAUAAUCAUAAAAUGCGGCAAUGGCUAACAUGAUUCGGACAGACUUAAGCAUCGCUACGGGUGAGAAAGUCUCAUCAUAGUCAACUCCUUGAACUUGUCGAAAACCUUUCGCAACAAGUCGAGCUUUGUAGAUAGUAAAAUUACCGUCAGCGUCAGUUUCUUCUUGAAGAUCCAUUUAUUUUCUAUGGCUUGCCGAUCAUCGGGCAAGUCCACCAAAGUCCACACUUUGUUCUCAUACAUGGACCCCAUCUCAUAUUUCAUGGCCUCAAGCCAUUUCGCGGAAUCUGGGCUCAUCAUCGCUUCCUCAUAGUUCAUAGGUUCACCAUGGUCUAGUAACAUGACUUCCAGAACAGGAUUACCGUACCACUCUGGUGCACAUCUCACUCUAGAAGACCUACGAGGUUCGGUAGUAACUUGAUCCGAAGUUUCAUGAUCAACAUCAUUAGCUUCCUCACUAAUUGGUGUAGGAAUCACUGGAACUGAUUUCUGUGAUGAAGUACUUUCCAAUAAGGGAGAAGGUACAAUUACCUCAUCAAGUUCUACUUUCCUCCCACUCACUUCUUUCGAGAGAAACUCCUUUUUGUAGAAAGGAUCCAUUCUUAGCAACAAAUAUUUUGCCUUCGGAUCUGGGAUAGAAGGUGUACCCAACGGUUUCCUUUGGGUAUCCUAUGAAGACGCACUUCUCCAAUUUGGGUUCAAGCUUAUCAGGUUGAAGCUUUUUCACAUAAGCAUCACAACCCCAAACUUUAAGACACGACAACUUUGGUUUCUUGCCAAACCAUAGUUCAUAAGGUGUCGUCUCAACGGAUUUUGAUGGUGCCCUAUUUAAAGUGAAUGAAGCCAUCUCUAAAGCAUAACCCCAAAAUUAUAGCGGUAAAUCAGUAAGAGACAUCAUAAAUCGCACCAUAUCCAAUAAAGUACCGUUACAACGUUUAGACACACCAUUUCGCUAUGGUGUUCUAGGUGGCGUUAGUUGUGAAACUAUCCCAUGUUGUUUCGAAUGAAGACCAAACUCGUAACUCAAAUAUUGUCCUCCACGAUCAGAUCAUAGAAACUUUAUUUUCUGGUUAUGAUGAUUUUCCACUUCACUCUGAAAUUCUUUGAACUUUUCAAAUGUUUCAGACUUGUGCUUCAUUAAGUAGAUAUAACCAUAUCUGCUCAAAUCAUCUGUGAAGGUAAGAAAAUAAUGAUACCCGCCAUGAGCCUCAACAAUCAUUGGACCGCAUACAUCGGUAUGUAUUGUUUCCAAUAAGUCAGCAGCUCAUUCCAUUGUUCUGGAGAAUGGAGUUUUAUUCAUCUUGCCCACGAGGCACGGUUCGCAAGCACCAAGUGAUUCAUAAUUAAGUGAUUCCAAAAGUCCAUCAGCAUGGAGUUUCUUCAUGCGCUUUACACCGAUAUGACCCAAACGGCAGUGCCGCAAAUAAGUUGCACUAUCAUUAUCAACUUUGCAUCUUUUGGCUUCAAUAUUAUGAACAUGUGUAUCAUCACGAUCGAGAUUCAACAAAAAUGACCACUCAACAAGGGUGCAUGACGAUAAAAGAUAUUACUCAUAUAAAUAGAACAACCAUUAUUCUCUGAUUUAAAAGAAUAACCGUCUCGCAUCAAACAAGAUCUAGAUAUAAUGUUCAUGCUCAACGCUGGCAUGAAAUAACAAUUAUUUAGGUCUAAAACUAAUCCCGAAGGUAGAUGUAGAGGUAGCGUGCCGACGGCGGUCACAUCGACCUUGGAACCAUUUCACAUGCGCAUCAUCACCUUGUCCUUAGCCAAUCUUCGUUUAAUCCGUAUCCCCUGUUUCAAGUUGCAAUAUUGAGCAACAGAACCAGUAUCUAAUACCUAGGCGCUACUACGAGCAUUAGUAAGGUACACAUCAAUAACAUGUAUAUCAAAUAUACCUUUCACUUUGCCAUCCUUCUUAUCCGCCAAAUACUUGGGGCAGUUUUGCUUCCAGUGACCAGUCCCUUUGUAGUAGAAGCACUCAGUUUCAGGCUUAGGUCCAGACUUGGGUUUCUUCUCUUGAGCAGCAACUAUGUUGUCGUUCUUCUUGAAGUUCCCCUUCUUCCCUUUGCCCUUUUUCUUGAAACUAGUGGUCUUGUUGACCAUCAACACUUGAUGCUCCUUCUUGAUUUCUACCUCUGUGGCCUUUAGCAUUGCGAAGAGCUCGAGAAUAGUCUUGUUCACCCCUUGCAUAUUAUAUUUCAUCAUGAAGCCUUUAUAGCUUGAUGGUAGUGAUUGAAGAACUCUGUCAAUGACACUAUCAUCAGGAAGAUUAACUCCCAGCUGAGUCAAGUGGUUAUGGUACCCAGAGAUUCUAUGUGUUCACUAACAGAACUAUUCUCCUCCGUUUUGAAGCUGUAGAACUUGUUGGAGACUUCAUAUCUUUCAUCUCGGGCAUUUUCUUGGAAUAUUAACUUCAACUCUUGGAACAUCUCAUAUGCUCCAUGACGUUCAAAACGUCUUUGAAGUCCCGAUUCUAAGCUGUAAAGCAUGGCACACUGAACUAUCGAGUAGUCAUUAGCUUUGCUCUGCCAUACGUUCUUAACGUCAUUAGUAGCAUCUGCAGCAGGCCUGGCACCCAAUGGUGCUUCCAGGACGUAAUUCUUCUGUGCAACAAUAAGGAUAAUCCUCAAGUUAUGGACCUAGUCCGUGUAGUUGCUGUCAUCAUCUUUCAACUUAGCUUUCUCUAGGAACGCAUUAAAAUUAAAAGGAACGGUAGCACAGGCCAUUGAUCUACAAUAACAUAGACAUGCAAAAUAACUAUCAGGACUAAGUUCAUGAUAAAUUAAAGUUCAGUUAAUCAUAUUACUUAAGAACCCCCACUUAGAUAGACAUCCCUCUAGUCAUCUAAAUGAUCACGUGCUCCAAAUCAACUAAACCAUGUCCGAUCAGCAUGUGAGAUGGAGUAGUUUUCAAUGGUGAACAUCACUAUGUUGAUCAUAUCUACUAUAUGAUUCACGUUCGACCUUUCGGUCUCAGUGUUCUGAGGCCAUAUCUGCAUAUGCUAGGCUCAUCAAGUUUAACCCGAGAAUUUUGCGUGUGCAAAACUGGCUUGCACCCAUUGUUGUGAGCGUAGAGCUUAUCACACCUGAUCAUCACGUGGUGUCUCGACACGAUGAACUGUAGCAACGGUGCAUACUCUGGGAGAACACUUAUACCUUGAAAUUUAGUAAGGGAUCAUCUUAUAAUGCUACCGCCGUACUAAGCAAAAUAAUAUGCAUAAAAGAUAAACAUCACACGCAAUUAAAAUAUGUGACAUGAUAUGGCCCUCAUCAUCUUGUGCUCAAGAUCUCCAUCACCGAAACAUCGUCAUGAUCUCCAUCGUCACCGGCGCGACACCUUGAUCUAUGACUAUUGCUACCGUUUAGUGAUAAAGUAAAACAAUUACAUGGCGAUUGCAUUGCAUACAAUAAAGCGACAACCAUAUGGCUCCUGCCAAUUGCCGAUAACUUUGUUACAAAACAUGAUCAUCUCAUACAACAAUUUAUAUCACAUCAUGCCUUGACCAUAUCACAUCACAACAAGCCCUGCAAAAACAAGUUAGACGUCCUCUACUUUGGUGUUGCAAGUUUUACGUGGCUGCUACGGGCUUCUAGUAAGAACCAUUCUUACCUACGCAUCAAAACCACAAUGAUUUUUCAUCAAGUGUGCUAUUUUAACCUUCAACAAGGAUCAGACGUAGACAAAUUCGAUUCAACUAAAGUUGGAGAAACAGACACUAGCCAACCACCUAUGUGCAAAAGCACGUCGGUAGAACCAGUCUCAUGAACGCGGUCAUGUAAUGUCGGUCCGGGCUGCUUCAUCCAACAAUAGCGCCGAAUCAAAGUAAGACAUUGGUGGUAAGCAGUAAGACUAUUAUCGCCCACAACUCUUUGUGUUCUACUCGUGCAUAUAACAUCUACGCAUAGACCUGGCUCGGAUGCCAUUGUUGGGGAACACAGUAACUUUAAAAAAA